ACAAAGAACAGAAAAUUACAAAUAACAAAGAACAGAAAUUCAAAGCACAGGUUUACAAAGAACAACACAGAAAUUACAAAGAGCAACACACAUAAAUAUAUAAACAGUACAGAAAUUAAAAGUUACCGAUGAUGCACGCUGGUCACAGUGAUGACGAGAACGGUGGUCGACGGCGAGAAGAAGAAGGAAACAGAUUGGGCGAGAUUGGUUGGUCGACGGCGAGAAGCAAACAGAUUGGGCGGGAUUGGUUGGUCGACGGCGAGAAGAAGAAGAAGGUCUGUUACUUAUUUUAGGUUUUAGGAGUUUUGGGGAGAAAGGGAAGAUCUGUUACUCAUUUUAGGUUUUAGGGGUUUUGGGGGUUUUGGGGGG
rnacentral:lncRNA from 1 species